AACUUCAACUGAAUCUUCUUUUCUCUUCUCUCCGUUUGAAUUUCCUUUGUUCCUUCCUUUGAUCUGAUUCUCCUUACUUUAAGGUCGAUGGAGCAUUUUCAGAACGACGAUCUUGCGUAUAUUGUGGAUGAUUAUUAUGAAGUCGAUGAUUUUGACGACGGUCAAUUUUUCUCUGACGAGGAAUUUCAUACUGAUCAGAAUACGGAGCAUAUAGACUCCGACUUUGAGGACGACAUCGAUACAAGCACGCCG
rnacentral:misc_RNA from 1 species